AGUGAACACUGGCGGUAGGCCUAACACAUGCAAGUCGAACGGCAGCACAGUAAGAGCUUGCUCUUACGGGUGGCGAGUGGCGGACGGGUGAGGAAUACAUCGGAAUCUACUUUUUCGUGGGGGAUAACGUAGGGAAACUUACGCUAAUACCGCAUACGACCUACGGGUGAAAGCAGGGGAUCUUCGGACCUUGCGCGAUUGAAUGAGCCGAUGUCGGAUUAGCUAGUUGGCGGGGUAAAGGCCCACCAAGGCGACGAUCCGUAGCUGGUCUGAGAGGAUGAUCAGCCACACUGGAACUGAGACACGGUCCAGACUCCUACGGGAGGCAGCAGUGGGGAAUAUUGGACAAUGGGCGCAAGCCUGAUCCAGCCAUACCGCGUGGGUGAAGAAGGCCUUCGGGUUGUAAAGCCCUUUUGUUGGGAAAGAAAAGCAGCAGGUUAAUACCCCGCUGUUCUGACGGUACCCAAAGAAUAAGCACCGGCUAACUUCGCG
rnacentral:rRNA from 1 species